AGAGCUUAGCAGAGAUGCUUUGGUGCCUUCGGGGAACUCUGAGACAGGUGCUGCAUGGCUGUCGUCAGCUCGUGUUGUGAAAUGUUGGGUUAAGUCCCGCAACGAGCGCAACCCUUAUCCCUUUGUUGCCAGCGGCUCGGCCGGGAACUCAAAGGAGACUGCCGGUGAUAAACCGGAGGAAGGUGGGGAUGACGUCAAGUCAUCAUGGCCCUUACGGCCAGGGCUACACACGUGCUACAAUGGCGCAUACAAAGAGAAGCGACCUCGCGAGAGCAAGCGGACCUCAUAAAGUGCGUCGUAGUCCGGAUUGGAGUCUGCAACUCGACUCCAUGAAGUCGGAAUCGCUAGUAAUCGUAGAUCAGAAUGCUACGGUGAAUACGUUCCCGGGCCUUGUACACACCGCCCGUCACACCAUGGGAGCGGGUUGCAAAAGAAGUAGGUAGCUUAACCUUCGGGAGGGCGCUUACCACUUUGUGAUUCAUGACUGGGGUGAAGUCGUAACAAGGUAAGCGUAGCGAG
rnacentral:rRNA from 1 species